GACUUAUUGCUUUGAUGUAGCACAAAAAUAAAUUAUUAGGCUAUUAUUAAUAAAGAAUACAAUUGUUUGUUUUUGAAAAAUAAGAGUGACUGCUUGCAUUAAAAUUAUAUACACAAAACAACUAAUAAUUUACUUUCUGGGUUCAGACAAAUGUUGAAAACAGUCGGUCUCGAUUGUCGAAGGUGCAGUUCACCCCACAGCUCAAGCAGGUGUGGACCAGGGGAAAUGCCAUUUGCUCUGUGCAAAAAAAUAACAUGAAUGCUUGUGAAACCGAAAGAAGAAACAUGAGUUGGUGGCACUGAUGCCUACAUGCAGUCAACACACUUACACGGAAGACCUAAGUGAACUGCGGAUGUGUUUUACCGGGUCCACCUGAGAAACGCUGAUAUCCCCGCUAAAGUAAACCCGCCGGCGUCCUCCGACCAGGUCUGAUUCAUGGAAGGACAACGUCUGUCCAAGAGGCCGGCAAAGACACGCAGCGACCCAGAGAUGUAGCCUGCGUUAGACUCUCCUUAUUGAAAGGAACCAGCUUAAGUGAACUGGCUCAGCUUUGUGAAGACUGAAACCUGCUUGUUGGGUCUGGGACCAGAUGAACAACGCAGCAGAAGAACAUGUUUUAAAAGUUUCUAUUUGAAAUCAAGUCGAAAAAAGAAAAGAUGGAACAAAAAAAGAGGAAAACUCCCUCUCCCUUCUCUGCAGGGUAUAAUGUAGACAGUUGUAAGAAGGCAGGUGACACACCAAAAGGAAGAAGGAAGGGUUGAAUGAGGAUGGAAAUGAAUCAUUAGACAAAAAAAUUAAAACUUCCUUCUCAGAGAAUCAGACUGCAGAAGAGAAGUAUUCAAAGAAGCAUAAGCUGCAGAGCAAAAGUGUCCGCAGAAGGUAUCGUGAGGUUUCCGUAGGUUCUGCCUCUCCCUCUAGCUGCCGUAAAUCUAAAUCUCAUCACCUCAGACAACAGAACAUCAGCUCUGCCCAGUCUGUGCAUGAUACUGUCAGACAUCAAUCUCAACGGUCUCGUAAAUCAACUGGCCCAUCAUACAUCACGCCUCCCACACAGUCGAAAAGAAAAAAAAAAAAAAAAAGAGGAAAACUCCCUCUCCCUUCUCUGCAGGGUAUAAUGUAGACAGUUGUAAGAAGGCAGGUGACACAGCACAAGCCAAGAAGGAAGGGUUGAAUGAGGAUGGAAAUGAAUCAUUAGACAAAAAAAUUAAAACUUCCUUCUCAGAGAAACAGACUGCAGAAGAGAAGUAUUCAGAGAAGCAUAAGCUGCAGAGCAAAAGUGUCCGCAGAAGGUAUCAUGAGGUUUCCGUAGGUUCUGCUUCUCCCUCUAGCUGCCGUAAAUCUAAAUCUCAUCACCUCAGAAAACAGAAGAUCUGCUCUGCCCAGUCUGUACAUAAAACUGUCAGACUUCAAUCUCAACGGUCUCGUAAAUCAACUGGCCCAUCAUACAUCACGCCUCCCACACAACCACUUUCUCUUCAACCCGUUACUCAACUGCCUGAGCCCUGUCUGCAGCAGCAAAACACAAGGUGAGGUGGGGGAAAACACAGAUGAGCUUUUACCCACAACAACAGCCCAUCAUGACCCAGACAUAGAACAAUAUGAUACGAGUCUUCCAUUUGAACCUUCACAUGAAAUGUUAGACAGAUCAUAUUUAUGGAAUGCCUCCAUUUCAGCACCACAACGUUCCCAGGAAGGAGUGUCCGAACAUGACAGACCCAGGAUUCAUUACCUUCCCUACUUUUCCAAUCCAUCUAUCCGCACUCCCUUCUCUGCUGAGUACACAGGUAGUUGUAAGAAGACAGGUGACGCACAACAGACAGGGGACAAACAUGUUCGCAGUUUGCCUCGAAUGUCUUCCUCAGCUUCUGCCUCUUCCUCCUGGAGUCUUCAUGAUGAUAGCAGGCAUAUAUCUGGGAUAGGUUCUAACCCUCCGCUUCCUCCUCCCCCACUACCAUACAUGCUCCCCUUCCUUGCCCCGUCUGUACGUAAUAAUGCUAGACUUCAAUCUGAACUAUCACCUGAUUCAUCACGCUUCUACAAUCUCAACAGCUUGAGACCUGAUCUCAGUUCAGCACCAAGAACAGCAGACUGCUACUCGACUAUUGUUGGUAAUAACAUGUUCUCACUGAGUAAUAUAACUUAUGGAAUGAUAAGGACACAGGCUGACAGGUCAUCUGACCUGUUAAAAAACAUCUAUGGGGAGUCUAAACCUGUUCACACCUCUGCAGCAGAUGCUACGCCGGGAGUCAAUCAAGAUAUUACCAGGGAAUUGAUACAAGCAUAUGGAAAAGCUCAUUUUCUUUCAGCUCCAUCACCAGUACCAGACCAGAUAUUGCAGCUUCCAAACAAUAAAGACACAGAAGAUGGUGGCCCCAGAUUUAGUAACUCUAGUUUUACUGUAUGUCCACAAAACAGGCCUGCAGUCCUCCAGGAAGACGAGUUGGGAGAUGACAGUGAUGUCCUGAUGGAAACAUCUGUUCCAGCUGUGAACUGCUCAGUCACAACACCCA